UUCAUGGAGAGUUUGAUCCUGGCUCAGGACGAACGCUGGCGGCGUGCCUAAUACAUGCAAGUCGAGCGGACCUAAGGGAGCUUGCUCCCUUAGGUCAGCGGCGGACG
rnacentral:rRNA from 1 species